GAAACGGUAGCUCAACGGAAGAGCUUUGACCAUCCACGUCAACGGCUGCGGGUUCGAUUCCCGUCCGUUUCA
rfam:Oryza sativa Indica Group cultivar 93-11 Ctg049144, whole genome shotgun sequence.